UGCAUAUAUAUUUGCAUAUAUAUGUAUAUAUAUAUAUAUGCAUCAGACUGGUCUCAAAGUUCUCACCAGCAAAGGCUAGAACUAUGCCUUCAAUAUUCAAUGACCAAAGCAAUUUUCAAUCAAGAAUUCUAUAUCUGUCCAAAUUGCCAUUCAAGUGUGAGGGUGGAGCAAUGAUACUUUCAGACAUGAGGGACUCAGAAAACCUACAUACCACACACUCCUUGAGAAAUUAAAGAUGUGGUACAGCAAAAUGAGAGCAUAAACAAAGAAGAAACAAGCAGAAGAAAGGAAGAGAAGGAGGGAGGGAGAGAGGGCUGCCAGGCCCAGGGCAUCAGUGAAAGGAAGAAGCCCCAGGCCAACACCUAUGUGGCGGAAGGGCAGAGGGCUCUGUGUAACAGGUCCUGAGAAAUAAGGCACCUCUACUCAUUUGCUGGAAAGGUGAGAGCAGACUUGAGGAAAUGACAAGGGUAUUAUUAAAGAAUAAGCCUGGCAUGGUGGCACAUGUCUGUAAUCCCAGCUACUUAGAAAGAUGGCUUGAGUCCAGCCUGGGUGACACGGUGAGACCCUGUCUAAGAAAGAGAGAGACAGAGAGAGAGAAAAAAGAGAAGGGAAACGAGAAGAAGAAAGGCAAUUAGAAACUCUUAUGAAAAACUAGAAGAAAUAAAAGAAGAAAAUUCAUCAUAGGACAUUGUGUGGCUCUGUAAUAAACAAUAUUUACAUUGUCACAAAAUGUAAACACUAUUUAUUGGAUUUAAACAUUUAGAAACCUAUAAGCAAAGCACAGAAGAUUAGAACAUAAUCUAAUGAGAAAAUUGGAACAUAAAUGUUGUCAACAUUGAACAUUUAAAGUAAAUGUGCCAGGCGUGGUGGCUCAUUCCUGUAAUCCCAGCACUUUGGGAGGCCUAGGUGGGUGGAUCGCUUGAGGUUAGGAGUUCGAGACCAGCUUGGCCAACAUGGCCAAACCCUAUCUCUACUAAAAAUACAAAAAUUACCUGGGUGUGAUCGUGCAUUCUUGUAAUCCCAGCUAGUUGGGAGACUAAGGCAGAAGGAUCACUUGA
rnacentral:lncRNA from 1 species